rnacentral:rRNA from 1 species
AGAGGGUGCGAGCGUUGUUCGGAAUUAUUGGGCGUAAAGCGCUUGUAGGCGGCCUGUUAAGUUCCGUGUGAAAUCCCCUGGCUUAACCAGGGAAGUGCGCGGAAAACUGGCGGGCUUGAGUGCCGGAGAGGGUCGCGGAAUUCCCGGUGUAGAGGUGAAAUUCGUAGAUAUCGGGAGGAACACCAGUGGCGAAGGCGGCGACCUGGACGGACACUGACGCUGAGACGCGAAAGCGUGGGGAGCAAACAGGAUUAGAUACCCUGGUAGUCCACGCUGUAAACGAUGGGUGCUAGCUGUGGUGGGUGUUGACCCCUGCCGUGGCGCAGCUAACGCAAUAAGCACCCCGCCUGGGAAGUACGGCCGCAAGGCUA